CCCAGAGUGCUGGGAUUUCAGGUGUGCAGCACCAUGACGUGCUAGGGCUGUCAGAGGAAGUGCGUGGGGCAGUGUCACCGCUUGGUGGCAUCGGCAGGCCCUGUCACCCAUUAAGCCCCGGCUUCCGUCCCUGCCUUACCCGCCGCCCUGGCAGGUUUCCCCAGUGCAGCUCAGGACAGCUGCCUGCAUGGCCGCUUUGCAUCUCAGUGUUUGAGAAGAGCUUCUGACAGAUCUGUGGGUGGGGGACAGCUGCACCAGGCUCGCAGGGAUGGAAGGUUGCUGAGGCAGGCAGGGACAAACUACCUAGGAGCACGGGAGCCAGGAGGGGCAGACGCACAGCCUGUGCCUCCGCUGGCCGGAGUCAGGGAACAAGAAGAGAUGCCGUGUUCUGCUUUCAACACGAGGCAGUUAUUUUAUGCGUGGAGGUCAUCAGUUUGCCGUCACACAGGUGGUGACUUCAAGAAGCAGGUCCACCUGGGAGGCAGCUGUGUCUGAUUCAGAGAGCGUAGAUGCUGUCACGGCCCCAGAUAGUGUCCUUUCACAGGUGAGAAAGCUGAGUGACCUGCUCAUCGUGGCAAGCAUGGAGAUGAUGCUGAGUGCGGCUCUGACCUGAAAGGCGCCUCUGGAGGUUUCAGAGUCGUGGGAGCUCCCUACCCAUGGCUAACCUCCUCAGCCUGGGGCCGGGCCGUGGGGGGGAGGAGCUUAGUGUGCGGUCUGUCACGGCCCUUUGUUUCUCUGUUGUGUACAGCUGAGUGCCUUUCUACCACGGGUUGCUCCCACCCUCAUGGGAGGAUUUCUGCCAACAAGAGGGGACCUGAGUGCCAGGCAGAGAUGCAGGGUUGGGACUUAAUCUGCUAAGCUGCACAGUGUACCCUAAAGAAAGGCGUAGACACCCUGGCAGUGAUUGGCGAAGGCCAGUUCCGAGGACCCUUGGGAAGAAGACUCCAAGGAGCUGAUUCCCUCCACUUCCUCCCAGUACUGCCUUCACCUCCAGUGACCCCACAGACCCUCACCUGUGAACCAGCCUUGCUUUGAGCACCUUGACCCGGUCCCCUGCAUCAGCCCUGCAUCAGCCCUGCCUGGUCGUCCUGGGGACCCUGAGCUGUGUGCAGCUGGCGUAGCAGAGUGUCAGGAGGAGACAGCAUAUCCAGGCUCUCGGGCAUCCCUUUGACAGAGAAGGACCCAGUCCUGACUGCUGCGGACACGGACCUUGUGAAGCCGGCUGAGCCUGUGGUUUGGUCAUGAAAGUCCGUCCUUCAGAGGUCUCUGCUAUGCAGACGGAACAGCGCCUGGUAGGACUGGCACCAAGGAGACCUCUGCCGUGUGUCCCCAGCUGUCCCAGGGAUGUGAGAUGAGCCCUGGGUGGAAUACCCUGGGAAAGUCCAGUCUUUAAACCAAAGAAAACUUCAAUUUGUGUGUUCAUAAGAAAAUGCCAUACUGUGUCUAUCAGAUGUGAAUUGGGGAAAUUGGCAAAUCUUAGAGCAUAAUUGUUAGAUAGUGUGUGGAUUAAGAUAUUUUUGAUGUUAAAUAAUAAUUGUGCUAAAAUCAGUCUUAAUAAGCAUCAGCUGUGUGGUAUACUUCGUAAGUUACGGUAUCC
rnacentral:lncRNA from 1 species